rnacentral:rRNA from 1 species
UACGAAGGGGGCUAGCGUUGCUCGGAAUUACUGGGCGUAAAGCGCACGUAGGCGGCUUUCUAAGUCGGGGGUGAAAUCCUGGAGCUCAACUCCAGAACUGCCUUCGAUACUGGAGAGCCCGAGUCCGGGAGAGGUGAGUGGAACUGCGAGUGUAGAGGUGAAAUUCGUAGAUAUUCGCAAGAACACCAGUGGCGAAAGCGGCUCACUGGCCCGGUACUGACGCUGAGGUGCGAAAGCGUGGGGAGCAAACAGG